CAGUGAUUCAAGUCCUAUCUGCU
rnacentral:miRNA from 10 species